GCAUUAAUGGGGUAGUGGUAACCUGGGUCGUUGCCAUCUGCAUGUACAGUCGACCCGCCGGGGGUUCAAUUCCCCCUUAAUGCA